rnacentral:lncRNA from 1 species
AACUCACCCGGCCCGGACAUGGACAGGAUUGACAGAUUGAUAGGUCUUUCUUGAUUCCAUGGGUGGUGGUGCAUGGCCUUAGUUGGUGGAGUGAUUUGUCUGGUUAAUUCCGAUAAUGAAGGAGACUCUGGCAUGCUAACUAGUUACCCACCCGAGAUUGAGAAAUAACACGUCUGUGAUGCCCUUAGAUGUCUGGGGCUGCACGCACGCUACAGUGACUGGCUCAGCGUGUGCCUACCCUACGUGGCAGACGCGGGUAACCUGUUGAACACCAUUGGUGAUGGUGAUCGGGGAUUGCAAUUAUUCCCCAUGAAUGACGAAUUCCCAGUAAGUGUGGGUCAUAGGCUUGCGUGAAGUCCCUACCCUUUGUACACACUGCCAGUCGCUACUACUGAUUGGAUGGUUUAGUGAGGCCCUUGGAUCGGCCCCGCCGGGUCAGCCCACUGCCCUGGUGGAGCACUGAGAAGACAGUCGAACUUGACUAUCUAGAGGAAGUAAAAGUCAUAACAAAAUUUCCAUAGUUGAACCUGUCGAGGGAUCAUUAACGGAG